AAAAGACACGGAUGAAGAAAGACGGGGAGGGCAUCGUUUUUAUUUCCUCACAUUGAAGUUUGGUGAUGGUAAAAAAUUAGCUCAAACUGAGAGUGAAAAUCUUCAAAGUCUACUGGGGAAAACUGAGAGAUGGCUCCCCUGAUCCUCGCGGCAAGAGAUGAAGGUGGCUGUGAUGGCAGAGAUGGAGAGAAGUGGAAGAGUUCACAGAGAUUCACUGACCUUGAUGACAGGCAAAGUGAGGCCAAGGGAAGAAUAUUGUUUCCAUAAUGUAACCAAAGAGCAGUCAACAAAGACAGGAGCAAGGCCUUGGUCUCCGGUGAGUAUGUAAGUGAAUUUAAAUGAGGUCGUCUUGUUACACUAAAUGGCCCCAGCCCCUCCUCUGUGUGACUGCUUGCUGCUCUGCACGUACUCUAAAAUAAUUCACGUUUUCCUCAUUUUUGGCCUCCACUUAUGCACGUGCUCCUCCGUAGCUUGAUAAAUUAAAACUUUGUUCUAUGAGUUUCUAUCCAGGAACAGGCUGACCACGGUGGGAAACACACCUACAAAGUAUCCAUCACAGCUGACAGAAGAAUGGAACCAUGUGAUACCUGGAGCCCAUCAUGCGGGAAGACUAACAUCCCUGGAACACUCCCUCACUGCCCAUUUUUCCUAUAUAGCUACCUCAAGAGUCUGUAAAUUUUUUGUGUGUGUGUGAGGAAGAUUGGCCCUGAGCUAACAUCGGUGCCAAUCUUCCUCUAUUUUGUAUGUGGGAUGCUGCCACAGCAUGGCUUGAAGAGCACUGUGUAUGUCCACACCCAGGAUCCAAACCUAUGAACCCUGGGCUGUUGAAGUGGAGUGUGUGAACUUAACCAUGACACCAGUGGGCUGGCCCCAAGAUUCUGCAAUUUUUGAAGACUUUGAGAUAGUAGUCUACUGUCUUCCUGACUAUGCUGGCUAAUUGAAUUAAAACUUCCUUUCUGGAUCCCUAA